rnacentral:tRNA from 1 species
GCCUGGCUAGCUCAGUCGGUAGAGCAUGAUACUUUUAAUCCCAGGAUCAGGGGUUCGAGCCCCGCGUUUGGCG